AUUGAACGCUGGCGGCAUGCCUUACACAUGCAAGUCGAACGGUAACAGGUCUUCGGAUGCUGACGAGUGGCGAACGGGUGAGUAAUACAUCGGAACGUGCCUAGUAGUGGGGGAUAACUACUCGAAAGAGUGGCUAAUACCGCAUGAGAUCUACGGAUGAAAGCAGGGGAUCGCAAGACCUUGUGCUACUCGAGCGGCCGAUGGCAGAUUAGGUAGGUGGUGGGAUAAAAGCUUACCAAGCCGACGAUCUGUAGCUGGUCUGAGAGGACGAUCAGCCACACUGGGACUGAGACACGGCCCAGACUCCUCCGGGAGGCAGCAGUGGGGAAUUUUGGACAAUGGGCGCAAGCCUGAUCCAGCAAUGCCGCGUGCAGGAUGAAGGCCUUCGGGUUGUAAACUGCUUUUGUACGGAACGAAAAGCCCUGGGUUAAUACCCUGGGGUCAUGACGGUACCGUAAGAAUGAGCACCGGCUAACUACGUGCCAGCCGCCGCAGUAAAAC
rnacentral:rRNA from 1 species